rnacentral:rRNA from 1 species
GAGAACACCCGGCGAAUUUAAGCAUAUUACUAACCGGAGGAAAAGAAACCAACAGGACGUCCUCAGUAGCGGCGAGCGAAGCGGACGAUGCCCAAACCGAACCGCGGUUCCCGAGGGGCCGCGGAGUGUGGAGAGGAUGAGCUCGCGAGGGGGCGGGACGGGUUCCAAUCCGUCUGGAAGGGCGGAGGCACGGAGGGCGAUUCCCCGUACGUGCUCGGUCCGUCCCCGACGAGCGAACGCAUCGGAGAGUCGGGCCGCUUGAGAGUGCAGCCCGAAUGGGGUGAUAGGUCUCAUCCAAGGCUAAGUACGUGGGAGACGCCGAUAGCGAACAAGUACGGCGACGGAAAGGUGAAAAGAACCUCGAAAGGGGGGUCAAAAGCGCUCGAAAUCGUAGAGGGGGAAGCGGACCUGACCGACGAGACCUCGUCGUCGCUCGCGCUCG